CACCAUGUGGCUCAGCUGGUUAGAGCGUCGCAUUCACAUUGCGAAGGUCCCUGGUUCGAAUCCAGGUGCGACCACCA
rnacentral:tRNA from 1 species